UGGGGAAUAUUGCACAAUGGACGGAAGUUUGAUGCAGCGACGCCGCGUGGAGGGUGUAGGCCUUCGGGUUGUGAACUCCUUUUUCUCGCGAAAAAGGCACAGUUUUGGCUGUGUUGAUGGUAGUGGGGGAAGAAGCGCCGGCUAACUACGUGCCAGCAGCCGCGGUAAUACGUAGGGCGCGAGCGUUGUCCGGAUUUAUUGGGCGUAAAGAGCUCGUAGGUGGUUCGUCGCGUCUGUCGUGAAAGCCAGCAGCUUAACUGUUGGUCUGCGGUUGGGACGGGCGGGCUUGAGGGCGGUAGGGGUGACUGGAAUUCCUGGUGUAGCGGUGGAAUGCGCAGAUAUCAGGAGGAACACCGAUGGCGAAGGCAGGUCACUGGGCCGUUACUGACACUGAGGAGCGAAAGCGUGGGGAGCGAACAGG
rnacentral:rRNA from 1 species